UGGGGAAUAUUGCACAAUGGGCGCAAGCCUGAUGCAGCCAUGCCGCGUGUGUGAAGAAGGCCUUCGGGUUGUAAAGCACUUUCAGCGAGGAGGAAGGUGGUGAGCUUAAUACGCUCAUCAAUUGACGUUACUCGCAGAAGAAGCACCGGCUAACUCCGUGCCAGCAGCCGCGGUAAUACGGAGGGUGCAAGCGUUAAUCGGAAUUACUGGGCGUAAAGCGCACGCAGGCGGUUUGUUAAGUCAGAUGUGAAAUCCCCGGGCUCAACCUGGGAACUGCAUUUGAAACUGGCAAGCUAGAGUCUCGUAGAGGGGGGUAGAAUUCCAGGUGUAGCGGUGAAAUGCGUAGAGAUCUGGAGGAAUACCGGUGGCGAAGGCGGCCCCCCUGGACGAAGACUGACGCUCAGGUGCGAAAGCGUGGGGAGCAAAACAGGAUUAGAUACCCUGGUAGUCCACGCUGUAAACGAUGUCGAUUUGGAGGUGUGCCCUUGAGGCGUGGCUUCCGGAGCUAACGCGUUAAAUCGACCGCCUGGGGAGUACGGCCGCAAGGUUAAAACUCAAAUGAAUUGACGGGGUCAUAGCUGUUUCCUG
rnacentral:rRNA from 1 species